AGCACUGAAAGCUGCACAGUUAAAAUUACGAAAUGCUGCAGCAGCUGGAGCACAAGGACGAAAAGAUGAUGAGGCUGGUCCUGCUGGCUUCUUAAAAAGCUUCUUCUAAGCUAGGGGAAGCUGUGUCUAUUUUCUUGUGAUAGAUUUUAAUUGACUAAGACAAAAAAUAUUAGUAUUCUUUUAAUAUUUAUUUAUUUACCAAAUAACUCUUAUCGACUGACGUAAAAGCAUUGAAAAAAAGAAAAGAAUUAUGUUUGUUUACAAAUGUACACUACAAUGCUUACUCUAAUAAAUUUUAUCCAAGCAAAUUUACCCUUAAAAAUUUAGCCUAAUUAUUUUCUUUUGAGAGUUAAGCGUUAAAUCAUAUCGUUUUAAACUACAGUGACUAAAGUUGCUGACACAGCUAAAACCAAAGAAUAAAUUAAACUAGCCCAAAAUAUAGUCUCGUAAUUUUAAUAUUUUGUUGUACAUACUUCUGCAAAAUACUCGUAGUUGGAGGUUUUGUAAAGAAAUAUUUCGUGACUAAACAUAGUUUAGCAAUUGUUUUGUGGUGAAGUGUUAAUUAAUACUGUAAAAUUUGUAUAUUUUUGUUUCGUUUAUAAUUUUAUAAAAGAUUUCAACAGACCGAAGUCUCCAUUUUUUGUUUCUGUAAAUAUUUUUACUUUUCUUGUUGAUUUUUACGCAAUUUUUAUUUUUAUUGUCUUCUCACCCCAAUCCCUGCGUUAUUAGUCCACUUCCGAUAGCAUCCCUAAUUCAAAGGAAAUAAAAGCGUGACUGACGAUUCAAGCAACAGCAACAGCGAAAUAAUUGCACUAGAGAGCCAGGUGAAAUGUUUGGAGGAAGCUUUAAAAAGUCACAGUAUCGACGAACUGGAGGAUCUUUUGGAUGUGGUAUCGCUCAAGGAUGCAAGAAUUGAAGAGUUGGAGGAGGCGUUGAAGGAAAGUGUUCAAAUCACUGCUUGCCGAGAAAGGGACCUCCAGGAGGAAGAAAACUCGGGAAAAAAGAAUUGUAGAGAUAAUGUCUUGAGGCUUUUACUAAUCCUGAUCAGCGGUAAAUAAGUGGGAAAAAAUAAUUGCCAAGUCAAUUAUUUGUUCUACUGCAGCCGGAUUGCUGAAACUUUAACUGGCUAUGUCGGCAAGAUAAGACAAGACAUAGCCCUAUCUGUGUCGUGCAAUAUAUAAAUUUUCGAUUCUUGUCGUGCCGACAUAAAUUUCAACAUUAAAGCUGCAGAAUUGUUGUCGUGCUUUGUUAACAAAAAGUUUAAUUGUUCACUCAUAGUCAUGUAGGUAAUUAAUAUGACUAGAACCUGAAUAUUGUUCACUUGUAAUUCCACUGACGACUUCAGCUAUGUGACUAUCUACAAAUUAAACAGUACUAUGUUUGCUUCUAGACGGAGAACAGUGCAUUUUUAAUCCAAGAAAAAGCAUGAUACAUGCAGUUCGAAUGGUUCCACUGAUGAUGAGGAAAUCUCAAUACCCGCAUCCACAAAACUUCAAGCGUAAGCGUAACUAAAAUUUGUUUUGUUUUUUGCUGAUUUAUGAGCUUUAGCCACCAAAACACGAUUCUGUGACUAGCGCAACACAACUCGUUUUCUAGCUAAACAUGUAGCAACUAUAAGAGCAACUUAGGAUAUUUUUGACUAGCACCGCAUGAGAUCUUUGAGCAGAAAUUCAUCAAUUUGCGAGUACUGUGAAAAAAAUUGUACUUGGCUUGAAAUACUUAGGUUCUAACUUUAAAUAAACUUUCAUAGUUGUCAAGAGCAAACUCUUCAGUGACUAACAAACUGAGUAAGUUUCUGACAUGAGAAAAGUAAUUAUUUGAGGAUGUCAUGCAUUAAUCAUUAUUUGAAAGUUGUCAAUGUAUCCCUCCCAUUUUAAUUAACAAAAGUUUCAAUCUAUUUUCAGAUGAACGGGAAACUCUCCACAAAGCAUCCUGAGAAUGAAAAAACAUGAAGCGGAAGCUACAAAUUGACCUCGUGUAAAAAUUUCUGUAGUCUUUCCUUUUUCAGCGCACAAAGAUCUUGUAAAAAUGUUUAAGACGCGAUUUUCACUGCCUUUCGUCAUUAUCAAUUCUGUACAAAAAUACUUUGCCAGUGAGCAAACUGCAAACAUACCAUGAAAGAAAUUGCCUUCCUAAAUUUUUCUCCCGUUUUAAAGGUUGUUUCUUUUUUUUUUCAUGAAGAAUCUAGAGUUUGCAUCCAUUGAUUUGUAUAUUUCAAUUGAUCUUAGGUUUUGCAGUUUGGUCACUACAUGAUUUGUUUUUAAAGCAUGUAAAAGUUUGUUUCAGAAGAGUAGGCUGUGAGAAAAAGGUAUGAUCACAUUUUGAGAAAAGGCUCUAAGAUGAUAAUCUUGUCUGGUUUCCUUAGUUUUUCAAAAAGCUUCAUUCCACCUAUCAUAAUAAAUUAGGUGAAUACUCAGGCACUUUUACAAUUAUAGGUUGCUAUUGUCACUGAUGCCUCUUGCAAUUUAAGAUAAUUGAAAUACCUGCUCUUAUGAAGCAAACUUACUAUAAAACAUGAAAAUGUAUUUUUUGAGAUCUCCUUACAUUGCUUAUUGACGCUAAUCGGUGGAAGUAUCGCAAGCUAAAUCGCAAAGUCAAAUUUUUCAUACAGAAAUACAUUGUUAAUCCUAAUUAUCCAUGAAAUUCCAUGGUUUUGUUACCGAUGUUGUGCUAAUACUGACUGAAUAUUCUCAAUUUUAGUAAGGAUUUGAAAUUCAAAUUAAACUUUCUGCAUUGAUUUCAUGAGUUCUUGGUUGUCAAAGAUUGACUAAAGAACGAACCUUUCAUCUGCAGCAUUUGUCUCUGAUUUUUUGAUUGCUUGGAGCAGAAAUAAAUACACUCACAUGUAUUACCUUACAAGGAUUACAUUACACAACUUUGAUAACCAUGAAAUUAGAAUGCAUUCGUUGCAUCUUAGAUAAGGCUGUUAGUGUUGAGAAAUAUUGAUGCUUGAAAUCUGCGCCUUGCUCUGUGGCAGCAGGCAGAGGCUCACAACUUGCGUUUUGGGAAAUUCUAAAAUAUUAAUUGUUGUGUUAUUUUUUUUAAAGCUCUGAGCUGCUCACUGCGCAAUAUUACACACUCUCUGACUACUUAAUCCAAGCUGUGGUGCUUUUAAGCAUUGAAUUUGGGGUUGGACUUAACCACGCCUAACUAAACGAUCUGAAAUUUGACCAAAGUAUUUUGAUCUCGUUUGUACUUUUGCCGAUUAGCAUUUUUUUGAAAACUCAAAUUUUUUAAUCUUAUUAUUUUUUCAUUUUGUGGAUUAGAAUUCUGUGCAUUGUUAAUGUGUUCACAAAUUUAAUUUUCUGUUGAAAACUAAUGCGGUAAAAGUAAAUUCUUUUUCCAUUUUUUUUCAGAGAAAGUCGUGAAUUGUUUAAGCAAAUGUUAUUAACUGCAUCGAAAAACACAUCAUCUCAUAUUCCAUUUGAUAAAAAAAAAUCUAGAUAAUCUGAAAAAAGUCAUAGGUAUUCUUCACAUUGGUAUUUUUUUAAAAUGAACUAGUUGCUAGAGACUUUCUACUUUAAAUAAUUCCAGAUGAAUUUCUGACAGGAUGAAGAGUUAUGAGCAUUGAUGAGACAAUUAAGGAAUUUCUACCUAUACUAAAUUUAAAGCCUAUUUCUAUUCUAUAUUAAACUAAGCAUUUUUAAGACUUUGACAUCGUUCUACAAUUACUGUUCUUUCAGUUAUAAUAAACAGAAUGAAACUGUCCCAUUAAAUAUUUCUUGAGCCAUGACUAUUUUGCUAUUCUAAGUCAAAAACUUUCAUGACACUGACUGCUUGAAAUUUGAUGAUUUCGACUGAAAUUAUUUUUUUUUUCUUUCGAAAAGAAAAGCUGUAAAAUAUUUUCCUUAUUUUAUAAAAAACAUGAGGAGAGUAAUUUUUAAACAACUUAUUUCUUAUUUGUUCCUGCUACUUGUUAGACAUUCACUUGUUACACUAAUCAUCAUAUAUAUAAGUGUUAACAUUUGAUUUAAUGUGUUACAUACUUGUUUAUAAUUGUUAUACAUGAAUGUUUAUUAUUUAUAAAGUUUGUAAUAAGGUGUAUAAAAUGAAAUUAUUGAUAGUUGUUGUUUUGUUCAUUUGAUUUGAUUCAUUCGAGUCUCUUUCCUUUAAGGUAAGAUCAUGAUUUUGUUCGAACGUUAAAAGCUUUUCCAAGCAAUAUCUCAUUACACUGAUCUAAUAAUAAAUCCACUUUUCAUGUUCGUUAUGCGAAUCUUGUCUGAAUAAAUUACUAUUCAUUUUGCCAACAUCCAUUCACUAGUGAUGGAUACUAAUAAUGGAAAUUGUUAAUAUUGUGACAAUAAAGAAUUAAACAUAAUUUUUGGAUGCCCCUUCAAACUUUUGACAACAGCAGUUUAUUUUCUUUGUUCCUCAAUUUUUUGUCCAAAUAAGAGUGCCCACCCUGUUCUGAACUAUACUUUAACCUUUCUUUAAAGUUGUCUUUGGUAAUUUGAUGAGAACGUUUUUAUACAUCUGAUUUGGUAGUGCCAUAAAUUUUGAUAUUUUCUUUUGAUCUGAUUUUAAAAAAAAUUUGAUGAAACUGAGCUGCAAAGUUCAACUCCAUGCAUACGUUUGGGGUUCUUGUUAAAGCAUCAUUUUAAAAAUAUAAAAUAGCGUAAAAAUAAAAAUAUUGCUGGGAUUAGGAUUUUAUUUUUUGUUCUCAACAUUAAAGUUGUUUCAUGGAAUGACAGCAACUUUAAACACGCUGUUCAGAGGCCUUUAGCAAAACCUUCCACUGUUUUGUGCAGACGACACAUCCUAAAAUUCACAAACCUCCUAUUUUCUCAUACAUAGCACUAUAACCAUUCAAACCAAACUUUAGAUCAAUUCAAAUGUGUGUACUUAACAUUUGUUAAACUUAAAUUCUGUUGUUCAAUAUCACCCGGGUGACUGCAAAAAGCCUAAUCCAUAAAAAAAGCCUGAACAGAUCUUUUCUCUCUACUGGUAAUAUCAUGUUGUCUAAAUUAAAAAGGGGCUUAAGACAAUUUUUCGUUUCGCACACAGCAUUAUCCGGCUCUCAAUCUCCUUUGCUUUCCAUUUUAUUUUAAGCUUAAAAUGUAAAUUUCAUUUGUAAAACAUAUCACUACUUGUCAUUUUGAAUCAUAUUUUGUCUAAUAGAUUAAAGACAUACUACUUAAUUAUAAAAUGAUUAAAAUACAUUCAAUGUAAUGCAAAUGUUGAAAAACAUAUAGAGUUUUAUUUUCUUCCUCACCACUGGACCGAAUCACAGGUACUUUACCUUAGUAACCACAAGCAGUAACUUGCAUCUACCAGGCUGACCAGAUCCUGUUUUUUUCAGUUGCCUUGUAAGGACACGUUAACCUGCAGCAGAUUCAGCCUCCUCCUAUACUAUAUGUAUGACAUCGGUGUCAGCGGUUACCACAGCAUUCAAAUGCUACUGAAUGUGGAGCCUUUUUGAGGCAGCAUAAUUAAAAAAACUUGGCCUGAAAACAGAUAAAAAUGUAACACGAUUAAAAUGAAAGAAGAGACGCUG
rnacentral:lncRNA from 1 species